AAGAAGCGUUUUCUCUGUAUUUGAUCAGCCUAAGUCCUAUUGAAUGAGGCAUCACGGUAGGGUGAUAAUCCCGUCCGGUUGAUCAUUUGCGUUUUACGAUACGCUUUCUAAGAGUCAAGUUGUUUGGGAUUGCAGCUUAAAAUGGGAGGUAAAUUUCUCCUAAGGCUAAAUAACGGCGAGAGACCGAUAGCGAACAAGUACC
rnacentral:rRNA from 1 species